AACGAACGCUGGCGGCAGGCCUAACACAUGCAAGUCGAGCGAGCAUUUCGGUGCUAGCGGCGGACGGGUGAGUAACGCGUGGGAACGUGCCCUUUUCUGCGGAAUAGUCCUGGGAAACUGGGGGUAAUACCGCAUACGCCCUUUUGGGGAAAGAUUUAUCGGAGAAGGAUCGGCCCGCGUUGGAUUAGGUAGUUGGUUGGGUAAUGGCACACCAAGCCGACGAUCCAUAGCUGGUUUGAGAGGAUGAUCAGCCACACUGGGACUGAGACACGGCCCAGACUCCUACGGGAGGCAGCAGUGGGGAAUCUUAGACAAUGGGGGCAACCCUGAUCGAGCCAUGCCGCGUGAGUGAUGAAGGCCUUAGGGUUGUAAAGCUCUUUCAGCUGGGAAGAUAAUGACGGUACCAGCAGAAGAAGCCCCGGCUAACUCCGUG
rnacentral:rRNA from 1 species